CCUACGGGGGACAGCAGUGGGGAAUAUUGGGCAAUGGGCGCAAGCCUGACCCAGCAACGCCGCGUGAAGGAAGAAGGCUCUCGGGUUGUAAACUUCUUUUAUCAGGGACGAAGCAAGUGACGGUACCUGAUGAAUAAGCCACGGCUAACUACGUGCCAGCAGCCGCGGUAAUACGUAGGUGGCAAGCGUUAUCCGGAUUUACUGGGUGUAAAGGGCGUGUAGGCGGGAAAGCAAGUCAGAUGUGAAAACCAUGGGCUCAACCUGUGGCCUGCAUUUGAAACUGUUUUUCUCGAGUACUGGAGAGGCAGACGGAAUUCCGAGUGUAGCGGUGAAAUGCGUAGAUAUUAGGAGGAACAGCAGUGGCGAAGGCGGUCUGCUGGACAGCAACUGACGCUGAGGCGCGAAAGCGUGGGGAGCAAACAGGAUUAGAUACCCGAGUAGUC
rnacentral:rRNA from 1 species